GACGAACGCUGGCGGCGUGCCUAACACAUGCAAGUCGAGCGAACAGACCAGGAGUUUGCUCCUCUGACGUUAGCGGCGGACGGGAGAGUAACAUGUGUAUAACCUACCUCUCAGACUGGGAUAAUAUUGGGAAACCGGAGCUUAUACCGGAUAAUAUAUUGAACCGCAUUGUUCAAUAGUUAAAUUCGGUUUUUGUGUCUCUAAUAGAUUGAUACGGGCUGCAUUCGCUAGUUGGUUAGGUAACGGAUUACCCAGGCUACGAUGGGAACCCGACCUGAGAGAGAGGUCGGCCACAUUGGAAGUGAGGCAGGGUCAAGACUCCGGCGGGAGGCCGCAGUCGGGAAUCUUCCGCAAUGGGGGAGAGCUUGACAGAGCAACGCGGCGUGAGUGAUGAAGGUGUUCGGAUCGGAAAGCUCUGUUAUUCGGGGGGAACUAAUGUGUAAGUAACUGUGCACGUCUUGACGGUACCGGGUGAAAAAGCCCCGGCUAACUACGUG
rnacentral:rRNA from 1 species